rnacentral:rRNA from 1 species
GUCCUUUUGUUAAUAUAUAAGGUUUAACCUGCCCACUGAAUUAUUUAAAUGGCCGCAGUAUUUUAACUGUGCAAAGGUAGCAUAAUCAUUAGUUUUUUAAUUAAAAGCUUGUAUGAAAGGUUGGACGAGGUAAAGUCUGUCUUUAUUUAAUUAAUUAUAGAAUUUAAUUUUUAAGUUAAAAAGCUUAAAUUUAUUUAAAAGACGAGAAGACCCUAUAGAUCUUUAUUUUUAUUAUUAUUUAAUUAAUUAGGAUUUAUUUAUUUUUAAUUUUAAUAAAAAUUUUAUUGGGGUAAUAAGAAGAUUUAAUAAAUUCUUUUAUUUUUUUUUCAUUAAUUUAUGUAUAUAUGAUCCAAUUUUAUUGAUUAUAAGAUUAAGUUACCUUAGGGAUAACAGCGUAAUUUUUUUAAAGAGUUCAUAUCAAUAAAAAAGUUUGCGACCUCGAUGUUGGAUUAAAGAUUAAUUUAGGUGCAGAAGUUUAAAUUUUUGGUCUGUUCGACCAUUGAAUCUUUACAUGAUCUGAGUUCAGACCGGUGUAAGCCAGGUCGGUUUCUAUCUUUAAUAAUUUAAAAUAUUUUAGUACGAAAGGACCAAAUAUUAAAUAUAUUAAUAUUUAAAAAUUUUGAAUAUUAUUAAUUACUUUGGCAGAAUAGUGUAAUGAAUUUAGAAUUCAUAAAUGUAAUUUUUUACAAGUAAUACUUGUUUUAUAUAGAUUUAUUAUUUUCUUUUAUUUGUAUAUUAUUA